rnacentral:lncRNA from 1 species
ACCACAAUAAUAAUUAAUUAUAUUGAAGAGAAAAACAAUUAAACAAACAUGAGCCCAAAAUAUUAGAUAUCUUCAUUAUGAUCUACUAGCCCUAGAUCGAGGAGAAACGAAAUUAGUGCAUGUAAAACGAUGUACAUUUACUGAAUUUUGCAUCCAUGGAAUUCUGAAUAAUUUGCUUUCUAAAUUAAACUAUAAGAGACUCGGAUUGAAUUUGAAACCCAAGCAUUAAAACUGAAUUGCAAAUAUGUUGUGGAUCUUGAAAAAUAGGAUGGGCGAAUCAUAAAUUCAUUCUAAUUCCCAGUUUGAAUUGAAGUAGACCGAGCUUAUAUGGAUCUUAUUAAAGGAGAAUUAAUAUAUAAUUAUAUCAUCAAACAAAUCCAAACCAAAAGCAAUAAAGUAAACAAGAAAACUCAAAGUACAUACAUAAUUUGGCAAAACUAGAGAGAAAGGAAACCUUCCUUGAUAAAAAGAGCAAACAUGAGAACAAAGAGGCCAAGGGUGAUGCAUUGUGUUGGAGACACCACUGUUUGUUGGUAUGCACAGAGUGUUAGUGUUGCACCCACCAAUCCAAUCAACAACGAACUCCAAUUCUUAUUCAUUUUUAGAUCAAAACAAUGAAUAGCUAUGGCCUAUGGCUAGGGAUGGACACUCUUCUUUUGAGUCUGGUUAUGUUUAUGGUCGGAGCUAGGCGCUAAUCAAUCACAGCAGUGAGCUGAGGUGAGGUGAGGUGAGGUCAACUCUUGGAGGGGAUUAUUUUAUUUAUUUAUUUAAUCAUUCAUUCAUAUUGGUUUAACCAAGUCAAG